rnacentral:snoRNA from 1 species
UAUUGUUAAUGAUGAUUCAUAACCCUUACCUACAUUGUUUGAAAAGUCUUGAAAAAUAAUUUGAUCUGACAAUG